AUGGUCCACGCGUACACGCCGGUUUUGAGCGCGCCGUUCACACCCACUGACGACUGCUCGCUACGUGGUGUUAGCC
rnacentral:sRNA from 1 species